AUCUCUCUAACAUUGCCUUCAUAAAUGGCAUAGAAACUCCAGACAUUGCAUUAAACAUAAGGCUAUUCAUCUCUGGGUUUUUUCCAUAGUAACUAUAAGCUGGCUCACCAUUUGCCUUCACAAAUGGCUCUAUCGAUGAAUCAUUAACGGCCUCAUGAACCAUCGUCCACGCCCUCAUUAACG